rnacentral:lncRNA from 1 species
GGGGAAUCAUCAUAGUGAAACUGAGACGUGGACAAGAACUGAAGCUUAGGGCGAUAGCGAGGAAAGGAAUCGGGAAAGAUCACGCUAAAUGGUCUCCUGCAGCCACUGUUACGUUCAUGUAUGAGCCUGACAUUAUCAUCAAUGAAGAUAUGAUGGACACUUUGACAGACGACGAGAAGAUUGACUUGAUUGAGAGCAGCCCGACCAAAGUUUUUGACUUUGAUGCUGUCACCAGACAGGUUAGUUUGGACAUUUGUGAAGAAUGUCAUAUCUACAAGUUUAUUGGUGUAUGAAUUUUCUCUAGGUGCUUAGUGUGUUUAGCUAAUUUCUGGGCAGUCAUUCAUUACAUCAUAGCUUAUCACUAUUGCUGUUAAUGACACUCUGCUACUUUAGGUUGUGGUGGUUGAUCCAGAAGCAUACACUUACGAUGAAGAAGUGAUCAAGAAAGCAGAAGCCAUGGGGAAACAAGGGCUCAUCGAGAUCCGUCCGAAAGAUGACAGUUUUAUAUUCACUGUUGAAUCCACAGGUGCAGUGAAGGCUUCGCAGCUGGUACUGAAUGCCAUAGAUCUCCUGAAGCAGAAGCUCGAUGCAGUCCGUCUCUCAGACGACACUGUUGAAGCUGAUGAUCAGUUUGGCGAACUAGGUGCACAUAUGCGCGGAGGAUGAGCGUGUGGUUUAAUUUGUGCUCCAUGUUUUCCCCAGUUUGUUUCGGGUUUGAGUUUAUGUUUGGACCAGGGCAAUCUAUUUUACCGUAGCGGGACACUCUUCUUAGAUAACUACUUAUGAAGCAGGUGGUCUUCUGUUUUGGCCCCUGCAAACUGAUCCCUUCUCAAAUCUUGUUAUUAUGUGAUUCAGACUAAAGUUUAUUCUUGCUCCAUGUGUUUAUGACAUGACCCGGCUAUAGAACCGAUGCCAUUUACCUGAACGGUUAUGUUUCGAAAUAAGAGGGAAAAAAUUGUACUAAUUUGGCUAUAGAUCUAAUGCCAAUACACUUGGGGGUUAUUGGUUUAAGAUUUAAAAAAUCUUAUCAAAAUCUAUUGUUAUUGGUUUAAAAACUUUUAAAUUCCAUUCAAAUCCGUUAUUAUUCAUAAAGUUUUUAUUAUGGAUUUUAUCAUUCUAUUGAAUUCUGUUGUUAUUGGGAGGUGAAUUCCUUAUGUUUUUAAGACUAGACUUUGAAAAUAUCAUCUAUUCUCAUAAGAUUUUAAAAAUCUGUGUAAUAAGAAAAACAUGCACAUAUUACAACUAAACUCACGUGAACACAUCAAACCAAAUUCAAUAAUGGUGAAUCAACUAAACUCACAUGAUCUGUAAUUCAUUAUAUUUUUAUAGUUUCUUAUUUUACAGAAUAUAAAAAGAACUAUAAAAUAAAUGGCCAGAAGAAGUAGAUACAUGUAUGUAGCUGGACACGAAAAGGAGAAGGAGAAGAGAAGAAGAUAUGGGUAUCAUUGUGUCAAUUACGUGAUGUUUGUAUAUAUGGUUUACAUUGAGAUUUUGUUUUUGGAAAUGUUCUGAAGAGAUUGUUAUACAUUGCCUUAUAAGAAGAAAUAUUUUGAAAAUAAUAUAUUAUGCAAAUCCAUAAAAAUCAAUAAAAUCUACAAAAGUCAAUUCAAAGUAUUUGAUAGAAAUUUGGAAAAUAUUUGUUAACUCUACUUAACUUCUAAGAAUCAUCUGUCAACUUUUAAAAUCACUUAACUCCUUCUAAAUUCUGAUUCUAAUAAUCCCCCUUAGAAUCAUCACUUCAAUGGCUAAUGCAAUUAUUUGUUUGACGACAUCACUAACGUCGAAACAGCGGGGGCAAAUGGACAAAUCCGAUUCUAUAAAUUUGAAUGAUUAACGGGAAGACAUCUAGUAAACAAGCAAGUCUGCCAAAAAGCUUCUUCUCUCUCUAAACCCUCUGCCAUCUCACUAGGUCUCCAAAUCUGAAUUGUGCUCGGUGGCCGGUGUGCUCUUACGCCGCCGGUCGCCACCCCUUUUCUUCUUUUUGUCUUUUGCUGUAAUAUAAAGAUCCUUUUCGGGUUAGCCGAUAUCCUUUUCCGUUGCGGAUCUUAAGCUUUCGCUUUGGCGAUGUGUUUUUGUUGUGUUGUACUUGCUUUUUCAUCGAAGCUUUUCUUCAAUCUAAUUCUUUUAUCUUCGAUGAAAAACGUUUUAAAUCACUUUCCAUUGAAGCUUAUAUGAAUCCCGAUGACCAAUUGAUCGGAUUUUUUUUUUUACCGUUUCACUUCAAACAAUUCUCCAGAGAAUCAGUCUUCCUUUGUAAUUUAGCCUCUUAUGACAAGAACUGAAGCUUAGGGCGAUAGCGAGGAAAGGAAUCUGGAAAGAUCACGCUAAAUGGUCUCCUGCAGCCACUGUUACGUUCAUGUAUGAGCCUGACAUUAUUAUCAAUGAAGAUAUGAUGGACACUUUGACAGACGACGAAAAGAUUGACUUGAUUGAGAGCAGCCCGACCAAAGUUUUUGACUUU